UACGGAGGGUGCAAGCGUUAUCCGGAUUCACUGGGUUUAAAGGGUGCGUAGGAGGGCAGGUAAGUCAGUGGUGAAAUCCCCGAGCUUAACUUGGGAACUGCCGUUGAUACUAUCUGUCUUGAAUACCGUGGAGGUGAGCGGAAUAUGUCAUGUAGCGGUGAAAUGCUUAGAUAUGACAUAGAACACCAAUUGCGAAGGCAGCUCGCUACACGAAUAUUGACUCUGAGGCACGAAAAGCGUGGGGAUCAAAACAGG
rnacentral:rRNA from 1 species